rnacentral:sRNA from 1 species
AGACAAUUUCAAACACCUCUGAGAUUGUGGGCAUAGUGAAACAAAGGAGUCUGAUUGGGGAGAUCCCAGCCCCUUGAGGAGCCUGAGGUGUGAAUAAACAUGUGAAUCCUUAUUCCUGAUGCCCCUAUCUCAAGAGGAAGGCUCAAUGGCUUGUUCUAGGGGAGCCAAAGUCUUUGUGUAUGUUGUUCAGGCUGGACCAGCAAGGUAGUUUGUUUGGAGGGAGGAGGGAGCUGUUUAAGAAGACUACAUAUGUAAGUUUUGAGAACACUGAUCUUUUAUUUGAAAAAUAGGGUCAACUUUUACUCACCUGCCAUGUUCUGAGUUUAAGGUUUGAUAUCCUUGGCCAUCAACUGUUGCAGGGAAACCACCCUAAAUAAUGAAGAAAAGAAGUCGUCUCAGUGUAAAAAAAAAAAGUGGGUGUCUGAUGCCAUCAAGUGUUGCAGGAGAAACUUCAGUCUUGGCUGUUCCUUCUUGGAGGGACCACUCAGUAGAGCCUCUAAGGGACCCAAAUCCUUCAGACCUUUUGGAGAACCUGGACGACAGUGUGUUUUCGAAGCGGCAUGCAAAACUGGAGCUGGAUGAG